rnacentral:rRNA from 1 species
CAAGGUUUCCGUAGGGGGACCCGCGGGAGGGUCAUUG